rnacentral:rRNA from 1 species
UACGUAGGGGGCAAGCGUUGUCCGGAAUUAUUGGGCGUAAAGAGCGCGCAGGCGGUCGUUCAAGUCGCGUGUGAAAGCCCCCGGCUCAACUGGGGAGGGUCACGCGAUACUGAUCGACUCGAAGGCAGGAGAGGGUAGUGGAAUUCCCGGUGUAGUGGUGAAAUGCGUAGAUAUCGGGAAGAACAUCAGUGGCGAAGGCGGCCCGCUGGGCUGUGGCUGACGCUGAGGCGCGACAGCGUGGGGAGCAAACAGG